rnacentral:lncRNA from 1 species
UUGAGGUAGAAAUUUAAUUGAAUGGAUUUGGUUGUUUGUUGAUUCCAUUGUUUUUUUUUUUUUUUUUUUUUGAAGGAGGGAAAACCUUUAUAAUUUUUCUGAUAUAACAAAUAAUGUAGAGAAUUGGAAUGCACCUAAAGCAUAUAUUUUGUUAUAUUUUGCUAAUUGGAUCGUAGUAUCAUUAGAACUGGAACUCUGACAGUGUCAGAAUUAUAAUGUUAGACGAUGAGAUGAGCCCUGCUGGCUGCUGUAGUCCUGUAGUCUGUACUUUAACAACAGUCGCGAUU